rnacentral:rRNA from 1 species
GAUGAACGCUGGCGGCGUGCCUAAUACAUGCAAGUCGAGCGAACAGACGAGGAGCUUGCUCCUCUGACGUUAGCGGCGGACGGGUGAGUAACACGUGGAUAACCUACCUAUAAGACUGGGAUAACUUCGGGAAACCGGAGCUAAUACCGGAUAAUAUAUUGAACCGCAUGGUUCAAUAGUGAAAGACGGUUUUGCUGUCACUUAUAGAUGGAUCCGCGCCGCAUUAGCUAGUUGGUAAGGUAACGGCUUACCAAGGCAACGAUGCGUAGCCGACCUGAGAGGGUGAUCGGCCACACUGGAACUGAGACACGGUCCAGACUCCUACGGGAGGCAGCAGUAGGGAAUCUUCCGCAAUGGGCGAAAGCCUGACGGAGCAACGCUGCGUGAGUGAUGAAGGUCUUCGGAUAGUAAAACUCUGUUAUUAGGGAAGAACAAAUGUGUAAGUAACUAUGCACGUCUUGACGGUACCUAAUCAGAAAGCCACGGCUAACUACGUG